GACGAACGCUGGCGGCGUGCUUAACACAUGCAAGUCGAACGGAAAGGCCCUGCUUUUGUGGGGUGCUGGAGUGGCGAACGGGUGAGUGUAACGUGAGUAACCUGCCCUUGUUUUUGGGGUAACUUAAGGAAACUGGGGUUAAUAUCGGACAGGAGCCCCUCCAGCAUGGUAGGGGUGGGAUAGUUUCGGCGUUUGGGGAUGGACGGGCGGUUGAUCAAUUUGUUGGUUGGGUAGUGGCUUACCAACGCAGUGACGGGUCGCAGGCGUGAGAGGGUGACGGGCCACAUUGGGACGGAGAUACGGCGCAGGCUCCUACGGAAAGCAGCAGUGGUGAAUAUUGCACAAUAGGCGGAAGCCUAAUACGGCAUCGGGGCGUGCGAGAUGACUGCUUGCGGGUUGUAAACCGCUGUCGACUGUGCCGAUGCGUGGGUGGUAGUAAUAGAUAAAGAAGCGGCGGAUAACGUC
rnacentral:rRNA from 1 species